rnacentral:rRNA from 1 species
AAGGAUAGUGGCAAACGGGUGAGUAACGCGUAGGUAACUUACCUCGAAGUCGGGCAUAACUCGCCGAAAGGUGGGAUAAUUCCCGGUAGUCUCCAAGUACUUCGGUAUCUUGGAGUAAAGCUCCGGCGCUUCGAGAGAGGCCUGCGUCCUAUCAGCUAGUUGGUAAGGUAAAAGCUUACCAAGGCUAAGACGGGUAGCUGGCGUGAGAGCGCGGACAGCCACAAUGGGACUGAGACACGGCCCAUACUCC